CCCGGCCAACUAAUGCCUUCCACCCCUCCUCAGGUGCUCAAAUGCUGAAAUACCAGUGACCUUGGGCUUGUAUUUUAAUUAUCAGUAUAAAUUUGAGGUGAGAAGGGUCCUCUGAAUUUUUUUUUCCCUAUUAAAAUGCAUCCUCUCAUUUAGAAACACCAGAAAUUGUUCUAUUCCUUUCCUCUCGAGUCCCCUCAUCUGGGCAACAUCUGGGUCACCUCUAAGGUAGGGCCUUCAACCUUUUUAUUGGGGAGCCGGAUGAGAGCUGGUUUUGCUAACUUGGGAAGAGGGCAGAACUCUGAUUCAGGCCUUCAGCUGACAGGUAAGUGAAGGGAGAGGCGUAAAUCUCCUACUAAUCAAGUUUUCUCGCUCCAAGCACCCCGCUUCCCUCUUAGUUUUUUUCCAUGUGGCUGCAGGUCUGGCCAGAGCCUGACGUGUAAUUAAAAUAACCUAAUUUAACUGAUUGAUCUACCUCGGGGUGGGAAAUGUCCAGAACUGGAGACACACGGGGCAAGUUUCAGGCUCUGGCCAGACCUGCUGACAUUAACGGGCAGGGGGAGUUUCAAGUAUCAGGAUAGAAGGGGGUUCAGGUGGGACGCAGGCCGUAUGAGGGGAUAGGACAUGUUCUGAUGCAAGAUCUAUUGUAAAGUCCCCUUGGCAAUCCUCUGGUGCUCUGGACCUCACUCUCCUCAGAAUGCAGGACCAAAGUGUGAACCCCAAACCAUGCCCUUCCAGGGGGGUGCCUUUGUGAUAAUCCCCCGGGCCCUACACCUGUGACAUGGCAUGCUUUUCAUGUCCGGUGGAUGCUGAAACAAGUGAGGUGCAUGCUGGAGUGGGAGCCCUGCACCCCAUGUCCUCAUCUGUGAGUGAAUCCCACAGGCAGGCAGCCCCUGGCCCAGUGCAGCUGCCCGCCAGGCCCAACAAAGGAACCUUCUGCAAAGCAACCCUCUCCCCAAAGCUGCCUUCUGCGUUCAGCCCCACUCAAUGGGCCUCGCCAAGGCUGAAAUGAGGAGCAAAGGAACCCUGGGCCCCGGCCCCGAAAUUACAAGUGUGGCCUUGGGACCAUCGCCUCUGCCCUGCAGACGGCAGUUCACCUCAUUAUGAUAAUCAGUGUGUUUUUCCUUCACAGACAAAGAAGGCUCCUUAGGAGAGGAACACUGGAGCCCAGCAGCUCCCUCAUUAGCGUCUGCAGCCUCUUCCUUGACGAGGGCCAAGACUAGCCCUGUGUUCAUUAAGGGAAAAGGGCGGAAAGUGCAAGGAAACUGAAAAACACAGCUGGGGGGAGGGGAAGGGCUUUCUGUUGGCCAUUCAUUCAUUGAAAGACCAUGUGUACCUUCAGGACUUAAUCACCAGCCCAGGGGCCAGGGAGAGUUUAACCAGGAUGAAGGCGGUAAAGAGGUUAAACUUGAUAGGAGUUAAAACCCCAAAACGGGGCAAUUUGAUUUGAAAGCUUCCUGGGACUUGUCAGUUGGAUCAUUAAUUUAAAAGCUUUUUCCUGUUUAUUUUAGCCCAACCCGACACUGGAGGAAACCUUUCCCUAGCUGUGUUUUCCGUCGAUGUUAAUAUUUUCUAAGUCCCCUUCCCUACUUUAUUGUCUUUGGGGCCUUUUCUCAUUCUUUUCUUUCUCUCCCACCUCUUCCACCCCUCCUCCCCCCACUUCUUUCUUCUCUCUAUGGUCCUCCCCGUGGGAACUUUACCUGUAAGAAAAUCUGCUGGUGGCUCUAAUUGAAUUUUCUCACGAAUACUUUAAUGAACCUUAUUUCAAGUCCCUCAAAUAGUGUCUGGUUCUUACCUGCAAGAGAGUUCGCCAGACCUGCCAGGUGAACAUUAUUAAUCCUAUUUUGUGACUGAGAAAAAAGUGGCUUGGAGAAACUGACCUAACUUAGGGCCUCAGCACUAGGGUGGGUCAGCCAGGACUCAACUCCAAGGAGGGAUGGUGAAGGGCAAGGUACAGAAGUUGGGAGCUCUGGCUACCUGAGGUCCUAAGAGAAGGGAUGCUGGGUGGGGCAGGGGUCCCUGUGGAUUCUAGAGGGAGUGCAUGUCAAUAGGUGUGAACCCGGGCCCAAGAGCCACAUGAGA